rnacentral:lncRNA from 1 species
CCAAUCUGAACCUGCCUUGUUGGUCCGGAGACCUCAGGCUAAUGCCACAAUCACUAAACCUGUAUAUACCCAGUCGUAACCUCUGAGCUCACGGGUGGGCAAGCCCAACCACUUUUCCGGAAAAGAACACCCCCUGCGGUGGAUCAGACCGCUGGUGUUCGUGAAAUGCGAACUAGUGGUGACGAUCGAUGCUGUUAUGCUCAAUAGCCAACCGUCGGCAACCAGCCGACA